UCACUCUUGUUGUUCUUCAUUGAUCGUAUAAAUCUUUCGCCUCUUUACUAAAGAUUUCCGUGGAGAGGAACAAUAGAGUUUUAACUAUUUUUUGAUGCCGCUUACACGCGGG